rnacentral:tRNA from 1 species
GUUUAUAUAGUUUAUAUAAAACAUUUCACUUUCAUUGAAAAAUAAGUAAAAAUUACUUAUAAAUA